GUCUCCGUCUGGCUCCGGGUGUUCCGCUGCACCAGGCUGGUGGGCUGUGUCCUGUUCAGGUGGACCUCAGUGACCAGCAGGAAGAUGUCGGUGAGUGUCAUGGUGCAGUUGGGCAGCUGCAGGGAGCUGUCGAACGUACUGUGGAAGUGCUGAAAGCAUCGCAAGAUGAUCCAGCAAAAGAGGGGCACGGCACACAGGCUGAAGAGGUUGGGGUUGGCUUCCAACUGGUCCAACAGGCGGUUCUGCAGGGCCCGAUCAGGGAACAUCUUCCUGGUGUAGGCCCUCAGGUGGCUGGGGGAGAAGCCCCGCAGGUGCACCUUCUUCCGAAGGAGCUGGCGUGGGAUCUCAAUGCCGGUGCGGGCUGUGAGCACCUUGCUGGCCCCCUUAAGCAGCUUCCCGCUAAGUAAGUUAGCCAGCAGGACCAGCGGGUGCACGGGAUCCCAGGGGGAGCAGGUGUCAGGCACGCUGCUCAGGUCAAAGUCCGAGUGGAGCUCGUCCAGGCCAUCAAACGUGAAGAGGGCUGUGUGGGGAAAGCGCAGCAGGAAGGCAAACACCUCCUCAGGGUCCUGCUCCGGGUAGCAAUUGUGCUUGAAGAGCAAGUCCUGCAGACACAGCACAUCGCUCUCCUUGAAGCAGCUGAACAUGCGGCAACGGAAGUGGAAGAAGAACUUGAGCCCUGUGUCCAACUGGCUUGUCGCCCACAGGCUCUGCAGCCGCUGGAGCAGCAUGGACUUGCCCACACCCGCGUCACCAAAGACGAAGAUGGUCUCACCCUGCUCAUUGAGAAUGCCCACGCUGUGGUCCAAGAGGCAGGCCAGGCUGUCCAGGCUGCCCAGGCUCUCAUUGCUGAAGCUGACCAGCUCCACAAUGGUGUCCAUGUACAUCUCCUCCAGCAGCAGCUCCUCCUUCUGUGCAUAGCAGAGGAUGAACUUGGAGUCCCGGCCCAGUUGGUGUCGCAGCUUCUGGGUGUACCUGCUCACUGGAGGGAGAAGCAUACAGACAUAGAGUCAGCUCCACCCUGACUUCAAGGACCUUGCAGACAGGAUGAAGGGUAACCAACAGAAGCUUGUGAGACCACCUAAUGCAAAGAAACAAAAAUAGCAGAAAAGAAGAAGCAGAUAAUGUGGAAACUAGCAAAGACUUCUGAAUGAGGUGGAAGAGGGAAGCAGAAGGUGAAACAAAGAGAUGGCUGCCUGAGAAAAACUGGCUUGAUAUUGCUGACAUUGAAAUAGAGAAAUGGCACUACAAGCCAGGAAAUCCUGGUGGCUUCUAGAAGUUGGGAAAGGCAAGGAAAUGAAUUCUCUCAUAGAGCCUCCAGAAGAAAUGCAGUCCUACUGAUACCUGGAGACUCAUUUCAGACUUCUGACCUUCAGAAUGGUAAGAUAAUAAAAUUGUGUUGU